rnacentral:rRNA from 1 species
UACAGAGGUCUCAAGCGUUGUUCGGAUUCAUUGGGCGUAAGGGGUGCGUAGGCGGUCUAUUAAGUCAGUGGUGAAAUACUCCAGCUUAACUGGAGGGGUGCCAUUGAUACUGAUGGACUUGAGUCAAGUCGAGGUAGGCGGAAUUGACGGUGUAGCGGUGAAAUGCUUAGAUAUCGUCAAGAACACCAAUAGUGAAGACAGCUUACUAGGCUUAAACUGACGCUGAGGCACGAAAGUGUGGGGAUCAAACAGG